AACUAAUAGUAUGUGAAGCGAGUGAUUAAAAAAUGAAGUUGACUAGAAGGUUCAGCAACUCAAGAGAAGAGUAAAGAAAAUACCAAGACUUGGCCAUGAACAAGGAAUAUCACAGGAAUCAGGAAUACGACAGAAGGUAUCACAAAAUAUUACAGAAGGUAAAAGAUGAAACUACUGGAGCUGAAAGAGAAUCCAGGCUUAUCCAAGUUUACAAAGUUGCUUUGUACUAUCAAUAGGAU
rnacentral:lncRNA from 1 species